AGGAGCAUCCAUACGCGCACGCAAUUAGACCACCCUCCGUGAGAUGCCUCGGUAGCUGUGAGGCAGGUGGGGACGUGCCUGGAGGCUGAAAGGGCUUCCGGACGCAUAAAUCGCAUCAGGCGCCGUCGUACACCGGACCAACGAUGCAUCAUAACAUCAACUAGUUGCUAGAAAGGCAGCGGGGAAAGGAGCAUCCAUACGCGCACGCAAUUGGAACCCCGCCGUGAGAUGCGUCGGUGGCUGUGAGGCAGGUGGGGACAUGCCUGGAGGCUGAAAGGGCUUCCGGACGCAUACAUCGCAUCAGGCGCCGUCGUACACCGGACCAACGAUGCAUCAUAACAUCAACUAGUUACUAGAAAGGCGGCAGGAAAGGAGCAUCCAUACGCGGACGCAAUUGGAACCCCGCCGUGAGAUGCGUCGGUGGCUGUGAGGCAGGUGGGGACAUGCCUGGAGGCUGAAAGGGCUUCCGGACGCAUAAAUCGCAUCAGGCGCCGUCGUACACCGGACCAACGAUGCAUCAUAACAUCAACUAGUUGCUAGAAAGGCGGCGGGGAAAGUAGCAUCCAUACGCGCACGCAAUUAGACCCCCGCCGUGAGAUGCCUCGGUAGCUGUGAGGCAGGUGGGGACAUGCCUGGAGGCUGAAAGGGCUUCCGGACGCAUAAAUCGCAUCAGACGCCGUCGUACGCCGGACCAACGAUGCAUCAUAACAUCAACUAGUUCCUGGAAAGGCGGCAGGAAAGGAGCAUCCAUACGCGCACGCAAUUGGAACCCCGCCGUGAGAUGCGUCGGUGGCUGUGAGGCAGGUGGGGACAUGCCUGGAGGCUGAAAGGGCUUCCGGACGCAUAAAUCGCAUCAGGCGCCAUCGUACACCGGACCGACGAUGCAUCAUAACAUCAAAUAGUUGCUAGAAAGGCGGCGGGGAAAGGAGCAUCCAUACGCGCACGCAAUUAGACCCCCGCCGUGAGAUGCCUCGGUCGCUGUGAGGCAGGUGGGGACAUGCCUGGAGGCUGAAAGGGCUUCCGGACGCAUAAAUCGCAUCAGGCGCCGUCGUACACCGGACCAACGAUGCAUCAUAACAUCAACUAGUUGCUAGAAAGGCGGCGGGGAAAGGAGCAUCCAUACGCGCACGCAAUUGGAACCCCGCCGUGAGAUGCGUCGGUGGCUGUGAGGCAGGUGGGGACAUGCCUGGAGGCUGAAAGGGCUUCCGGACGCAUAAAUCGCAUCAGGCGCCGUCGUACACCGGACCAACGAUGCAUCAUAACAUCAACUAGUUGCUAGAAAGGCGGCGGGGAAAGGAGCAUCCAUACGCGCACGCAAUUGGAACCCCGCCGUGAGAUGCGUCGGUGGCUGUGAGGCAGGUGGGGACAUGCCUGGAGGCUGAAAGGGCUUCCGGACGCAUAAAUCGCAUCAGGCGCCGUCGUACGCCGGACCAACGAUGCAUCAUAACAUCAACUAGUUGCUAGAAAGGCGGCGGGGAAAGGAGCAUCCAUACGCGCACGCAAUUGGAACCCCGCCGUGAGAUGCGUCGGUGGCUGUGAGGCAGGUGGGGACAUGCCUGGAGGCUGAAAGGGCUUCCGGACGCAUAAAUCGCAUCAGGCGCCGUCGUACACCGGACCAACGAUGCAUCAUAACAUCAACUAGUUGCUAGAAAGGCGGCGGGGAAAGGAGCAUCCAUACGCGCACGCAAUUGGACCCCCGCCGUGAGAUGCGUCGGUGGCUGUGAGGCAGGUGGGGACAUGCCUGGAGGCUGAAAGGGCUUCCGGACGCAUAAAUCGCAUCAGGCGCCGUCGUACACCGGACCAACGAUGCAUCAUAACAUCAACUAGUUGCUAGAAAGGCGGCGGCGAAAGGAGCAUCCAUACGCGCACGCAAUUGGAACCCCGCCGUGAGAUGCGUCGGUGGCUGUGAGGCAGGUGGGGACAUGCCUGGAGGCUGAAAGGGCUUCCGGACGCAUAAAUCGCAUCAGGCGCCGUCGUACACCGGACCAACGAUGCAUCAUAACAUCAACUAGUUGCUGGAAAGGCGGCGGAAAGGAGCAUCCAUACGCGCACGCAAUUGGAACCCCGCCGUGAGAUGCGUCGGUGGCUGUGAGGCAGGUGGGGACAUGCCUGGAGGCUGAAAGGGCUUCCGGACGCAUAAAUCGCAUCAGGCGCCGUCGUACGCCGGACCAACGAUGCAUCAUAAC
rnacentral:lncRNA from 1 species